rnacentral:rRNA from 1 species
AUGUCAUGGAAUAAUCUAUUGUCCCGUCUGGAUUCGAUUAUCCUGACACAAGGUCGUGAUGUGUUUCGCUGGAACCUUACUACAUCGGGGUCUUUCACAGUAGACUCUAUGUAUCGUGCACUCUCGCAUUCUGAGGUACCGGUGAGAAAUAACAAAAUAAUUUGGAAAGCGAAGGUACCACUUAAAGUCAAAAUAUUCAUGUGGUAUCUCCGUAGGGGAGUUGUGCUAACAAAAGACAACCUCGCAAGACGCAACUGGUCGGGAAGUAAGAAGUGUUGUUUUUGUACUCACGACGAGACAAUUAAACACCUCUUUUUUCACUGUAAGUUUGCGCGUUCUACGUGGUCAGCCAUCCAAAUAGCGUCAAAUUUGUAUCCACCCACAAGUGUUGCCAAUAUUUUUGGUCAUUGGCUGGACGGUAUUUCAAAUAGGUACAAAACGCUAAUAAGGGUGGGAGCGUAUGCCUUACUAUGGUCGCUUUGGCUAUGUAGAAAUGAUGUUGUUUUUAAUGACAAAACUGUUUUGCCUUUGCAGGUUAUUUUCCGUUGUACGCACUCGCUUCGUACGUGGUGUACGCUACAACGAGCGGAGUACCAACCGUUGUUCAAGGCGGUGUGUACGCUGUUGGAGCAGGUGGCUACGGAGGUUUUUACCCAACAUGGAUGGCAGCAUAAUCUCCGGCUCGGUCCACCAUCUCUUUCGACAUAG